UACGUAGGGGGCAAGCGUUGUCCGGAAUCAUUGGGCGUAAAGCGCGUGUAGGCGGUUCAGUAAGUCUGCUGUGAAAGUCCAGGGCUCAACCCUGGGAUGCCGGUGGAUACUGCUGGGCUAGAGUACGGAAGAGGCGAGUGGAAUUCCCGGUGUAGCGGUGAAAUGCGCAGAUAUCGGGAGGAACACCGGUGGCGAAGGCGGUUCUCUGGGCCUUACCUGACGCUGAGGAGCGAAAGCGUGGGGAGCGAACAGG
rnacentral:rRNA from 1 species